CUAAGCCUCACCGACGUUACCAUUACCUUCUACUAUCAUCUUCAACGUAUGGCUCCACAUCUAAGUCUCAUAAAGCUUCAUCAAUCACCGCUACUCUCAAAACGGCACACAUCUACUCACAUCUCAUCAGGUCGCCAAAUCGUAUAUUCAUCUGCUCCCUUGAUUCGCUACUUGCUCAAUUCCGUCUUCUUCAGUUGGUUGAAGUCGGAAGAAGUGAAAUAUGAGCAGCAGUAGCAGCUCCAGAGAGGGAUCUCCCGAAUGGCUUCUUCGAUCUUUCCGGGCACCCACCACCACUUCAUUGUUAUCACUCUCCUCCUCAUCCUCUGAAGCUGAUCGCCAAACAAAAAAAAAGCAAACGAUUACAUACAAAAUCAAGAAAAUCAACGCGCAAGGCUGUUACUUCUCUGUUUUACAGUGACGUCAUUCCAGAUUUGGGACUGUCGAACCUUCUGUUUUGCCUGAUCAGGAAGUGAGGAACACCACAAAGGGGAAAUUGGUUUCGACUCAUAGACAAACAGUCGAACGAGGAGGAUCUUCGCACGGCAUUCAUGGUUUUUGAGGUAUCUCAUUAUGAUUUAUGAUUCUCCCCCACUCGGCUACUCCACAGAUCCGUUGAAAGAUACGGCACCGCUCCGGCUUCUCUGUUCAUCACUUACCGGCUUGUGAGAGAUAUCUCGCACCCGUGGUUCUUAAAAUGGAGCUUGCGAACUAAUAGAGCUUACUAAGAUACUUUGCGGAUCAAAAUAGAGCUUACCUGUGAUUUCAUAGAAAAGCAGUUACUUUUUGUUUCUCUCAGUCUUAACUUUAUCCGUCUGAAACCAAGAAGACAUGCCUAAGUCAAAGCAAAACAGAAUAGUUAAUUUUUCAAGAAGAAAGGAAGGGAGAAUGAGCAGAGUAUUUCUAAUGGAAUCAAAGAGGCUGUCGAGAAAUAUAAUGAUGUCUUUGCUUUUUCUUUUGAAAACAUGAGAUACAUCAAAUUCAAAGGAGUUCAAGCAAAGUUUAUAAACAAUGGAAGGUUUAUUGGUUCAGGUUCUUCCUGGACUCAAACAAAGAGAUGCAGGUUGCUCUUGGUCGUUCUGCUUUUUUGAUGAAAUCCAUCCUGCCAUCUUUAAUACCUUCAGAGCUGUGUACUAUGCUUCUUAUAGUUGUUUUAUACUACUUGGUGUUUUCUCUUCAGAUGCGUUUUUAUAUGUUUAAGAAUAUUUUUCAGCUGCUUCAUGGUUAUGCUAGACUUCUCUUAUUACGGAUAUGCCAAGGUGAUCUCUCUCCUGAAGUCUUUUUUUUCCUAUAUUACUUUGGUGAAAACAACAGUCAAAAACUGUAUCCUUCUCUCUCAUGGUUUUCCCGUAUCUCUGUAACUUGAAACUGCCUCAAAAUGCUUCUUCUGGUUAUCCUUGCAACUUAUUCAACGCUUAUGAUGUUUUCGAAUUUUCAAGUGGUGGAAGCAUGCACUGCAGAAGAAUCAGUUUGUGAUUAAAACUAUUGCUAGCUUGAUAAACAAACAAGCUUUAGUGUGCAGAAGAAACGGUUUCUGAUUAAAGCUACUCCCAUAUUUUUGGUGUGUUUAUCUUCAGUACUAAUCAAGUUUGUUUUG